rnacentral:miRNA from 1 species
GGCCUUGGUCUUGGUCCUGGUCUUGGUCUUGGUCCUGGUCUUGGUCUUGGCCCUGGUCUUGGUCCUGGUUCUGG